AUUGAACGCUGGCGGCAGGCUUAACACAUGCAAGUCGAACGAGUGGCGGACGGGUGAGUAAUGCUUGGGAAUCUGCCUUAUGGAGGGGGAUAACUACUGGAAACGGUAGCUAAUACCGCAUACCAUCAGAUGAGCCCAGGUGGGAUUAGGUAGUUGGUGAGGUAAAGGCUCACCAAGCCGACGAUCUCUAGCUGGUCUGAGAGGAUGACCAGCCACACUGGGACUGAGACACGGCCCAGACUCCUACGGGAGGCAGCAGUGGGGAAUAUUGCGCAAUGGGGGCAACCCUGACGCAGCCAUGCCGCGUGAAUGAAGAAGGCCUUCGGGUUGUAAAGUUCUUUCGGUAGCGAGGCGUUAACUACAGAAGAAGCACCGGCUAACUCCGUGCCAGCAGCCGCGGUAAUAC
rnacentral:rRNA from 1 species